UUGGUUACUCUCCUUGAAGCUGACUGACUAUAAUAGUGACAUUGUGUUUUAUUCAAUCACAUUUAAUACACGAACAAUUAGUAUAACAUUGUUAGGGAAACACAUGUUAAUUUGUCAUAUGACAUUAUCUUUUAAUUUUGAAAAUGUAGUGAUUUCAUAAAGAAAUCAGAGGAGGAGUGUACUGUUUUGAUUAAGUGCCGAAUUGACCAUGUCGUCCUUUUCUUAUCAUUUCAUUCCCCAGUCUCAUCAAUCCCUCGAUUAUUGUCAAAACUGAAACACGUUGUUUUCCUACUUGGAAGUUUUAUCCACCACUAGAUUUUUCACCCUCUCCGGGGGUCUGUAUACCAAUAAACUGUUGAUCUCUCAA